rnacentral:rRNA from 1 species
CCAGCCAUUAACAUAGAUGGGCCCCAUUAAACCCCCCCACCCGCCAGAGAAGUACAAGCAGAAGGCUCGAAACUCUAAGGACUUGGCGGUGUCCCACACCGACCUAGAGGAGCCUGUCCAAUAAUCGAUGAUCCACGUUAAACCUAACCCGCCCUUGCCAACCAGCCUAUAUACCGCCGUCGCCAGCCUGCCUAAUGAUAGACUAAAAGCAGGCUCAACAAUCCCCAUUAACACGUCAGGUCAAGGUGUAGCUAAUGAGCGGGGCAAAGAUGGGCUACAUUUUCUAACCACAAGAAAAACACCACACGUCUAAUGAAACACGGACCAAAAGGCGGAUUUAGCAGUAAACUGCGCAAGACGCGCCCAAUUGAAACCUGCCCUGGGACAC